GAUGAACGCUGGCGGCGUGCCUAAUACAUGCAAGUCGAGCGAACGGACGAGGAGCUUGCUUCUCUGAUGUUAGCGGCGGACGGGUGAGUAACACGUGGAUAACCUACCUAUAAGACUGGGAUAACUUCGGGAAACCGUAGCUAAUACCGGAUAAUAUUUUGAACCGCAUGGUUCAAUAGUGAAAGACGGUCUUGCUGUCACUUAUAGAUGGAUCCGCGCUGCAUUAGCUAGUUGGUAAGGUAACGGCUUACCAAGGCAACGAUGCAUAGCCGACCUGAGAGGGUGAUCGGCCACACUGGAACUGAGACACGGUCCAGACUCCUACGGGAGGCAGCAGUAGGGAAUCUUCCGCAAUGGGCGAAAGCCUGACGGAGCAACGCCGCGUGAGUGAUGAAGGUCUUCGGAUCGUAAAACUCUGUUAUUAGGGAAGAACAUAUGUGUAAGUAACUGUGCACAUCUUGACGGUACCUAAUCAGAAAGCCACGGCUAACUACGUG
rnacentral:rRNA from 1 species